CAGCAGCCGCGGUAAUACGUAGGGUGCAAGCGUUAAUUGGAAUUACUGGGCGUAAAGCGUGCGCAGGCGGUUAUAUAAGACAGAUGUGAAAUCCCCGGGCUCAACCUGGGAACUGCAUUUGUGACUGUAUAGCUAGAGUACGGCAGAGGGGGAUGGAAUUCCGCGUGUAGCAGUGAAAUGCGUAGAUAUGCGGAGGAACACCGAUGGCGAAGGCAAUCCCCUGGGCCUGUACUGACGCUCAUGCACGAAAGCGUGGGGAGCAAACAGGAUUAGAUACCCCCGUAGUCCCUGUCUCUUAUAC
rnacentral:rRNA from 1 species